AUGGCCGCACGGAGAGCGGCGGCGCUUCAGGUAACCGAGCCCCCCGUCCCUCUGAAAUCUCCUCUAUGGUUAUGGUUUUGCUCGGCGCGGAUCGGGACUGACGGAUGGGUCUGGUUCCUUCCUUCCUUCCUGCAGGUGGCGGUGGCGGUGGUGGCGCUGGCGCUGUGCGCGGCGGGGGGCGCGGGGUGCCGGAAGCACGUGCGGAGGGUCACGGAGUACGGGGCGGUGGGGGACGAUAGGACGCUCAACACGGCGGCGUUCGCCAGCGCCGUGGCGGACCUGGGCAGGCGCGCGGGCGACGGCGGCGCGGCGCUGGUGGUGCCGGAGGGGCGGUGGCUCACGGGGCCCUUCAACCUCACCAGCCACUUCACCCUCUUCCUCCACUACGGCGCCGAGAUCCUCGCAUCCCAGGACCUGGACGACUGGCCGCUGAUAGCGCCGCUGCCGUCCUACGGGAGGGGGAGGGACGAGCCCGGCCCGAGGUACAGCAACUUCAUCGGCGGAUCCAACCUCACCGAUGUCAUCAUCUCCGGUCACAAUGGCACCAUCAACGGGCAGGGGCAGGUGUGGUGGGACAAGUUCCACGCCAAGGAGCUCCACUACACGCGCGGCUACCUGCUCGAGCUCCUCUACUCCCGCGACAUCAUCAUCUCCAACGUCACCUUCGUCGACGCGCCCUCCUGGAACCUCCACCCCACCUACUGCACCAAUGUGACCAUCAGCGGUGUCACGAUUCUCGCGCCGGUCCACUCGCCAAACACCGACGGGAUCGACCCAGAUUCUUCGUCUCAUGUCAAGAUCGAGGACUGCUACAUCGUGUCCGGCGACGACUGCAUCGCGGUGAAGAGCGGCUGGGACGAAUACGGCAUUAAGUUCAACAUGCCCAGCCAGCACAUCGUCGUCAGGAGGCUCACCUGCAUCUCCCCGACGAGCGCCAUGAUCGCGCUCGGCAGCGAGAUGUCGGGCGGCAUCCAGGACGUGCGCGUGGAGGACAACAUUGCCAUCAACACUGAGUCGGCCGUCAGGAUCAAGUCCGGCGUGGGGAGGGGCGGCUUCGUCAGGGACGUCUUCGUGCGCCGCCUCAGCCUCCACACCAUGAAGUGGGUCUUCUGGAUGACCGGCAACUACGGCCAGCACCCCGACAACUCGUCCGACCCCAAGGCGCUGCCGGAGGUCACCGGCAUCAACUACCGCGACGUGUUCGCCGAGAACGUGACCAUGGCCGGCAGGAUGGAGGGCAUCCCCAACGACCCCUACACCGGGAUAUGCAUGUCCAACGUCACCGCACAGCUCGCUCCGAAGGCCAAGAAGCUGCAAUGGAACUGCACUGAUGUCCAAGGAGUGGCAUACGGCGUCUCGCCGGAGCCAUGCCCGGAGCUUGGGGCAGAGGGCAAGCCCUGCACAUUCCCGGAGGAAGAGCUCGUCAUCGGUCCGCCUGAACUGCCCAAAUGUACCUACUGA
rnacentral:rRNA from 1 species